UACGUAGGGGGCAAGCGUUGUCCGGAAUCAUUGGGCGUAAAGCGCGUGUAGGCGGCCAGAAAAGUCCGCUGUGAAAACUCGAGGCUCAACUUCGAGCUGUCGGUGGAAACUUUCUGGCUAGAGUCCGGAAGAGGAGAAUGGAAUUCCUGGUGUAGCGGUGGAAUGCGCAGAUAUCAGGAAGAACACCGACGGCGAAGGCAGCUCGCUGGGACGGUACUGACGCUGAGGCGCGAAAGCGUGGGGAGCGAACAGG
rnacentral:rRNA from 1 species